rnacentral:rRNA from 1 species
CGGCGGACGGGUGAGUAAUGCCUAGGAAUCUGCCUGGUAGUGGGGGACGAACGUUUCGAAAGGAACGCUAAUACCGCAUACGUCCUACGGAGAAAGCAGGGACCUUCGGGCCUUGCGCUAUCAGAUGAGCCUAGGUCGGAUUAGCUAGUUGGUGAGGUAAUGGCUCACCAAGGCGACGAUCCGUAACUGGUCUGAGAGGGUGAUCAGUCACACUGGAACUGAGACACGGUCCAAGACUCCUACGGGAGGCAGCAGCU